rnacentral:rRNA from 1 species
GACGGAGGAUGCAAGCGUUAUCCGGAAUGAUUGGGCGUAAAGCGUCCGCAGGUGGCAGUUCAAGUCUGCUGUCAAAGACCGGGGCUUAACUUCGGAAAGGCAGUGGAAACUGAACAGCUAGAGUAUGGUAGGGGCAGAGGGAAUUCCUGGUGUAGCGGUGAAAUGCGUAGGUAUCAGGAAGAACAUCGGUGGCGAAGGCGCUCUGCUGGACCAUAACUGACACUCAGGGACGAAAGCUAGGGGAGCGAAUGGG